GGUAGCGUGGCCGAGCGGUCCAAGGCGCUGGUUUAAGGCACCAGUCUCUUCGGGGGCAUGGGUUCGAAUCCCAUCGCUGUCA
rnacentral:tRNA from 1 species